rnacentral:rRNA from 1 species
AACGAACGCUGGCGGCAGGCUUAACACAUGCAAGUCGAGCGCCCCGCGAGGGGAGCGGCAGACGGGUGAGUAACGCGUGGGAAUCUACCCAUCUCUACGGAAUAACGCAUGGAAACGUGUGCUAAUACCGUAUACGUCCUUCGGGAUAAAGAUUUAUCGGAGAUGGAUGAGCCCGCGUUGGAUUAGCUAGUUGGUGGUGUAAAGGCCUACCAAGGCGACGAUCCAUAGCUGGUCUGAGAGGAUGAUCAGCCACACUGGGACUGAGACACGGCCCAGACUCCAACGGGAGGCAGCAGUGGGGAAUAUUGGACAAUGGACGCAAGCCUGAUCCAGCCAUGCCGCGUGAGUGAUGAAGGCCCUAGGGUUGUAAAGCGCUUUCACCGGUGAAGAUAAUGACGGUAACCGGAGAAGAAGCCCCGGCUAACUUCGUGCCAGCCGCCGCAGUAAUAC